rnacentral:ncRNA from 1 species
UACCGUUACGGUUUCUGCAAAGAAUUAAUAGGGAAGGAGGUGUAAGUCCUCAACUGUUCCCGCAGCUGUAAGCUCACAAAGAACCUAAGAUCCACAGUCCACUGUUCUGAAGAAUGGGAAGGCCACUUAGGAGAGUAAGUCAGAAGACCUGCCAUAACA